rnacentral:rRNA from 1 species
AGUGAACGCUGGCGGUAGGCCUAACACAUGCAAGUCGAACGGCAGCACAGUAAGAGCCUGCUCUUACGGGUGGCGAGUGGCGGACGGGUGAGGAAUACAUCGGAAUCUACUUUUUCGUGGGGGAUAACGUAGGGAAACUUACGCUAAUACCGCAUACGACCUACGGGUGAAAGCAGGGGAUCUUCGGACCUUGCGCGAUUGAAUGAGCCGAUGUCGGAUUAGCUAGUUGGCGGGGUAAAGGCCUACCAAGGCGACGAUCCGUAGCUGGUCUGAGAGGAUGAUCAGCCACACUGGAACUUGGACACGGUCCCGACUCCUACGGGAGGCAGCAGUGGGGAAUAUUGGACAAUGGGCGCAAGCCUGAUCCAGCCAUACCGCGUGGGUGAAGAAGGCCUUCGGGUUGUAAAGCCCUUUUGUUGGGAAAGAAAAGCAGCAGGUUAAUACCCCGCUGUUCUGACGGUACCCAAAGAAUAAGCACCGGCUAACUUCGUG